GACGAACGCUGGCGGCGCGCUUAACACAUGCAAGUCGAGCGAAGCGGCGGACGGGUGAGUAACAAGCGAGGAACCUUCCUUAGACAUUGGGAUAGCCCCGGGAAACCGGGAAUAAUACCCAAUAGUCUAAGAUGGACUCGCGUCCCAUUAGCUGGUUGGUGAGGUAACGGCCCACAAAGGCGACGUUGGGUAGCCUGCCUGAGAGGGUGAACGGACACCUUGGAACUGAUAAACGGUCCAAACUCGACGGGAGGCAGCAGUGGGGAAUAUGGCACAAUGGAGGGAAGUCGGAUGCUGCGACGCCGCGAGAACGAAGAAGGCAUACGAGUCGUAAGUUUCUAGUAUAUGGGAAGCGGUACCAUAACAAAAAGCCCCGGCUAACUACGUGCCAGCAGCCGCGGUAAUUC
rnacentral:rRNA from 1 species